GAAUGUGAUGAUUAUGAUUGUCGCCCCAGUCUUAUUAGCACUCAUUUGUGCUAUAUGGUGAUUGACAAUUACAUUCUGAUUU